GGGUUCACAAAGAGAACGGGUUGGAGUGGGUUGGGAAUUGGCAUAAGCGGUGUCGGCAACUCCCGUCUCACGAUCCUGAGAAGGACCGCCGCCGCCAGCUCGCUGCGGUCGUCGCCGUGCCUCCGCUCCAGGCUCCAGCGUCUUCUCCUCCAUCGCCGGUAGCAGAUCCAGUAGAUCCAUGGAGGGGGAGGCAGGGUAGGCCAACGACGAUCUCCCCGAGUCUCCGUUCGUGGCUGGUCAAGCAAGCCGAGCAGCUAGCGACGAGCUCGGCCAAUCACCUGGACACUCGUCCCCUCCCGUUCCUGACCUGGCCCGUAAAUCAAACGGGGUCUAGGCGGCAUCGUCAUCCCCGACCCCGACCUUCGGCCUCCGCUACACUCCGGCUGGUAAGAGAGGUCGCUUCUCCUCUCCUUCCCCGCGCCGCCUUGCCACUUCUUCGCUUCCCGCCUGCUGCGCGUGUGGAUCUUGGUUCUUGGCUGGUGCAGCUGCCGCACAUUUGUGCCUGCUAGUGGAAUGUUGUCAAACUCUAGUGCCUUUACCUUUGUGCCUGCUGCCGCAGAUUGAUUAAUUUGCUUUUUCCUGCACCCUGCACUUGCAUUAUUGAUGCUGAUGGGUUAAGGUAAAGAAUGGGUAGAUAGCACUAGCACCAGCAGGUAGCAGCUGCAUACAUUCAGGACAAAAGGAAUUAUUUCUAGCCAUACCCCUUAGCACCGUUUCUUCAGAAUCCGCAUUCAGUUUAAGUGGUUCAAUUCUUGGUGACAACCGAAGCUCGAUGAUUCCACAAACACUUGAAGCUCUAGUUUGCUGCAAAGAUUGGCUUUAUAAAUACCAGUGAAGGUGUAAGUCUUCUAAUAUGUGCUUCAUAUUCAUGAAUGUUUCAACAUGUUCUCUUCCUAUUUAAACUUUGUAUUCUCAUGUUUUGGCAGGCUCGGGCAAAACAUGACACUACCAAUACUGCUGUUGCUGGCUGUGUCACAGGUGGAGCUUUAGCAGUAAAAGGAAGCUGCACCUUGGCUGGUAAAAAAGAAUUUUUGCUGUCUGCAAGCUGCUAUUGCUAUAGAAAUGCUGAUGCACACAAGGUUACUGAAUGAGCUACAGAUCAAACUGAAAACCCUUAACAGCUAUUUUGUUUGUUCACGGGCUGGUUGUGCAAGCAACAAUAAAGAACCACAAAAGGCUCCUGCUAAAGAGGAGGAUCCCCCGAAGGACGAGCCCAAGCUUUUAGUGGGAAGAGCUACUCCUUGAAAUGUUAGCUGCCCAUUACUAGAGUUUAGCCUUACAAAUCAUGUUCAGUGGUAGCUGUAGACCACUGUGUCUUAAGUGUCCACCAGCAUGUAGAUAUAAUUUGAAUUAUGUAAAUGUUUAUCUUCAUGGAAAUAUGGCCAUCUUUCUAUUCGAGUGCAAGUAUUCUAACGAUCUGCUACAUGUUAUCCUU